GCCUUUAUAGCUUAGUUGGUAGAGCAUCGCAUUCGUAACGCGAAGGUCGCCGGUUCGAGUCCGGCUAAAGGCU
rnacentral:tRNA from 1 species